rnacentral:rRNA from 1 species
GUGAACGCUGGCGGUAGGCCUAACACAUGCAAGUCGAACGGCAGCACAGUAAGAGCUUGCCCUUACGGGUGGCGAGUGGCGGACGGGUGAGGAAUACAUCGGAAUCUACUUUUUCGUGGGGGAUAACGUAGGGAAACUUACGCUAAUACCGCAUACGACCUACGGGUGAAAGCAGGGGAUCUUCGGACCUUGCGCGAUUGAAUGAGCCGAUGUCGGAUUAGCUAGUUGGCGGGGUAAAGGCCCACCAAGGCGACGAUCCGUAGCUGGUCUGAGAGGAUGAUCAGCCACACUGGAACUGAGACACGGUCCAGACUCCUACGGGAGGCAGCAGUGGGGAAUAUUGGACAAUGGGCGCAAGCCUGAUCCAGCCAUACCGCGUGGGUGAAGAAGGCCUUCGGGUUGUAAAGCCCUUUUGUUGGGAAAGAAAAGCAGCAGGUUAAUACCCCGCUGUUCUGACGGUACCCAAAGAAUAAGCACCGGCUAACUUCGU